CUGCGCGGGGGCCGGAGCUCUGGCAGGACGGGUAGAGCUGCUCGCUGCAGGCUGACCGCGGCUGGUACAUCGCUUCAUGUUGGAAAGUGCCCGCUCGCCGCUGGCUGCUGUAAUAUUCCGGCGAGUGACUGGGAAGCUGCAGAAGAACUAAUUGUUCCGUGUCCGAUGUACGCCAUGGAAGCGGGAGCAGCGAUGAAAAAUGCGAAGGAAAAUCCCCGCCUACCUGCACGAGUUUCCCUUUGUGUAUGGAAUGGACCCAAACUUACGUAGAUCAGCUUUAUUGGUAUGCAUGAAAAAAAAAAUGUGCGAUUAAGAGAGAACCAUGACUGUAGAAGAAAAAAAAGGAAUCCGAUGAGAGGCUGAAGUUAGCUGCUUUGCAGGAGCCGGGCAGCGCAGAUAUUUGAUUAGAAUUACGCAAUAUUGAUAGCACUGCAAAAACAGCGAUUAUCUGGCGUGAUCAGCUCCGCAUGCAAAUUUUGGGCUAAGAAAUUGGAAGUCCUGAUAAUUCAAUGCAACCGCAUUCUCGAGGACUGCCGCGAACUGCCCUCUUUGAAGAAACCACCCACGUAAUAACGACCCUGGAGAGCAGCGCAAAACCCAGCCGGCGGCCGCGCCAACUUCGCCAAAUUACUGGGCUCGCCCGAAGACAGGCGAAGGGGCAGGAGAUCCUGCGAGGGGAAAAAAUAAAACACGGCAACCGCCCGCAAGGAGCUUGGUGGUUUUUUAAAGGCAGUAUCUAAAAGCCUCCGUGACCGAGCUACUGCAAAAUCCUUCAUUCCAAGUCUACUAUCUCCAGAGCGCUGCUGCGGAGAGCUUUCACCGGGGGAGAUCGUCCAGGAAAACGGCAGAUUUCCCCUUCUCAGCAAGCGGGAUUUCGGCGUGCAAAAGCCGCAGUAGCUGCUGCCUGUAAUAACGGGCUUGCCCUAGUUAGUACGUGCAGCCGGUGCCGCACGUCUGUGCUGCGCAUGUGGGCGCGCACGGGCUCGACGUGGCACCUUAUUUGCGCUGGAAGCUGCCGAAGGAUGCCCCGCGCCUCCUCCGCGGGCGAGGAGUUACCCGCGGCCGCGGUGGCGAACAGACAGACAGACAGAGCAGGAAGGCAGGCGAGAGGGUGGAAAGCUGCCACUGCCAAGCCAGCACCACCUCCGAGCGCUCUGCUUUUUUUUUUUCUUUUUUUGGUGCAUUUUACGCACACAGUGCGGAGCAAAUGGCGUGGAGGCUCCGCCGGGGGAACGCGCGUCCUCGCUGCGCGCCCGCGCAACGUAAAUAAACAAACAGCGCGGAGGGGGGACGCGCGGCCGCUCCCGCCCGGGCCCUGCUUUCCCCGCCGCUGCUCUGCAGCGCUGAUUUCCCUGCCUUUAAUGGCUUUCAUUUAUUUUAUGUGUGCUUUGAUGCUAAACAUUAUUUGGCGCUAAUGAAAUAGUUACAGUCCGCAAUAAAGUAAUUGAAGGGUGGAGGGAGAAUCUCCAAAAACUAAACCCACAGCAAAAUAUAUCGUCUUGCUGCAAAUUGGUUACAGGAACAAGCGAAUUAAAACAAGGGCGAAAAGCCUAUUCGAGCUGUUUCUGACUGCUCUGCAUUCCUCCUUUUUCAUUCCUCCUUUUUCCUCUUACCUACUUCAGUAGCAGCCACGGCUCAAUCCCAGAGAGGGAGGAGAAGGGCGACCAGCCCGCGGCUCCAGAGCCCCGAACAGGAAUUACAGUUUUGGUGUAUUCGCCAAACGUAUUGAAAAGGCACUGAAAUGUUGAAAACUGUAGCGAUGCUAAAAAAUGAGACCUUUUUAGUGAUACGCUGGGGUGUAUUUUAAUAUAAAAGGCUCUUUGAUAUAUUGACCUUACCUAAGGAAAAGGAACCCAGUGCCCCGGUGCUAUUUUAAGAGGAGGGGAAGGAACGCAACACAGCUGUAGAUUAUUGGAGAUUUUCUUUUUAUUUCGAAGAAUAAUAAUCACAGACGAGAAAAAAGCAACGCGUCGGCAUUAAAUAAUUUGCUACUUCGAUAUACAACAUUUUACGUAGCACAAUAUUAAUUCCUUUUUUUUU